AUGAGGCUCCCUGCUCAGCUCCUGGGGCUGCUGGUGCUCUGGGUCCCUGGAUCCAGUGGUGAUGUUGUGAUGACCCAGACUCCCCUGUCCCUGUCUGUCACCCCUGGAGAGUCGGCCUCCAUCUCCUGCAGGGCUAGUCAGAGCAUCCAAGACAGUGAUGGAAACACCUAUUUGAAUUGGUUCCUGCAGAAGCCAGGCCAACCUCCAAGGCGCCUGAUUCAUAAGGUUUCCAACCGGGACUCUGGGGUCUCAGACGGGUUCAGUGGCAGUGGGUCAGGGACAGAUUUCACACUGAAAAUCAGCAGGGUGGAGGCUGAGGAUGUGGGAGUGUAUUACUGCAUGCAAGCUUCAUAUUUUCCUUGCACAGUGAUACAGCCCCAAACACAAACCUCUAUGCUUGGGGUGGCCCAGCUGCCCAAAUGUGUUGUUUGUCUGGUGACAGCUCAGCAGAAUUUCUGGCUGUAUAAGAGAAUGUAG